GUGCUUGCUUCGGUGGCAGCACAUGUACCAAAUUGGAAUGAUACAGAGAUUAGCAUGGCCCCUGUGCAAGGAAGACAUGCAAAUGUGUAAAGUGUUCCUUAUUUUU
ensembl:snRNA U6 U6 spliceosomal RNA